rnacentral:lncRNA from 1 species
GAAUCCUAAAACAGAAAAAGAAAAUUAGAGAUCAAGGUACUGAACAUGACAGUGUUGCGGAUGAUAGCUCCAACACUCUGAGGAAAUCAGAUUAUAAUUUCAAGGCAGUUCUGUUGUUAGCAUUGCCCAAGUUUGGAUCUACCUCAACAGGUCAACCUACAUCUAAAGAAUGAAAAUUGCUGCCUUCUGUUCAACUGCCCACCACCACGAACACCAAAUACAACAACAACUCAAAAAAAGCUAUAGAAAACAUUAUUUUAAAAAUGUUAUUUUGAUUUGUACAUCCCUACUGAGUAAUAAUAUUGAGUAGUUCCAUACAGUGCAUGCCUACCAUACAUAUGCAAUAGAGAAUGAAAUCAGAAAUGGCUCAUUUAAGGAGGUAACAAUUUGGCUUGUGACCUGAAAGGGAGCUGGAUAUGUGUUGACUGAGAAAGGAGCCAUUAGGACAAAGAAACCAAAAAGGCAAAAACGGAAGGGAAGGAACUUGGAAAUGAAGGGAAGAUGUUGAUCAUGCCUGUAAUGGUAUAAGAAAGGGUGCUAGAUGAGAUUAAAGAAGUGGGUAGUUAGUUAGAGUGGUACCUUGAAGGCCAGGGUUCAUUGUUUGGAUUCAUUCUUAGUGCAGCUAUAGUCAUGUGAGGGUGGUAAGUAUGGGAAGGAAGUGACAUGAUGUACUUUUUUAAAACUUUUAUAUUGAAGUAACAAAUACAA